rnacentral:snRNA from 1 species
GUGCUCACUUCAGCAGCAUAUAUACUAAAAUUGAAACAAUACAGAAAAGAUUAGCAUGGCCCCUGCACAAGGAUGAUAUGCAAAUUCAUAAAUCGUUCCAUAGUUUU